GAAGCCAUCGUUUUCUCCCCUAAACUGAACACAACAGCAUCCAAUAUUCACAACCCACGAAAAUUCAUAUACCAAAACGUCAAAUUUAAUAAUCUAUACAAAAAUUUAAUUUAAUGAACCAAAUUAAGAGCAAGCAAUUUCAAUCACAAAAACAAAACCCCACAAAGACAGGAUAUAGCUACAAGGCUACCUACACGAGAAAAAAAAAGGUAGAAAAAUUCCUAAAAUCGAGACUCUGGAAAAAAAAUUGAACAAAAUGAAGAAUCCAAAAGGAGCUUACGUCUUGCAGAGAAG
rnacentral:misc_RNA from 1 species